rnacentral:misc_RNA from 1 species
CUUGAAGAGUCAGCAAAAAAAUUGUUUUCUUUGCAGAAGGAAAUUGACCCUGAUCUCACCCGGAAUCUUGAAUUGCAGUUGAGCGAGACAAUGAAUGAAAUUGGGAAACUGCAGAAACAAAUGGAAGAUAAAAAAGCGUUGGAUUUAGAUUCAGUGAAGAAUGUUACCUCAGAGCUUGAUGACGCAAAAGAGUCCCUACAAAAAGUGGCUGAAGAGGAAAGAUCUCUCCAUAACCUGGUUGAAGCUUUGAAGUUGGAACUGGAGAAUGUGAGGAAAGAGCAUUCUGAACUCAAGGAGAAAGAAGCAGAGGCAGAAUCUACUGCUGGGAAUUUGCACGUCAAGCUCCGGAAGAGCAAAUCUGAACUCGAAGCAUACCUCGCAGAAGAAUCUAAAGCAAGAGGUGCUUGUGAAGAGAUGCUCUCUACUCUUAGUCAGCUGUCGUCGGAAACUGAAAAUGCUAGACGGGGAGCAGAAGAGAUGAAAAAUAAAGCAGAGGAUUUGAGGAAGGAAGCAGAAGCCACCAGACUAGCAUUGGAAGAUGCUGAGAAGCAGCUGAGAGUUGCACUGGAUGAAGCUGAAGAAGCGAAAGCAGCUGAAGCUAGGGCCCUUGAUCAGAUUAAGGUACUGUCUGAGAG